rnacentral:rRNA from 1 species
AUACGUAGGGGGCGAGCGUUGUCCGGAAUGAUUGGGCGUAAAGGGCGCGUAGGCGGCCCGGUAAGUCUGGAGUGAAAGUCCUGUUUUUAAGAUGGGAAUUGCUUUGGAUACUGUCGGGCUUGAGUGCAGGAGAGGGAAGUGGAAUUCCCAGUGUAGCGGUGAAAUGCAUAGAGAUUGGGAGGAACACCAGUGGCGAAGGCGACUUACUGGACUGUAACUGACGCUGAGGCGCGAAAGUGUGGGGAGCAAACAGGAUUAGAUACCCUGGUAGUCCACACUGUAAACGAUGAAUGCUAGGUGUAAGAGGUAUCGACCCCUUUUGUGCCGGAGUCAACACAAUAAGCAUUCCGCCUGGGGAGUACGGCCGCAAGGUUGAGACUCAAAUGAAUUGACGGGG